rnacentral:lncRNA from 12 species
CCCAGGAGUAUUGCUUGGUGAAGUCUCUGCUGAACUAAACGGAAUUUGCAGAUUGAACAUCCCCAUCAGACCCCAGAAAGGAAAAAUGGGAAGUUGGAGAGAGAGGUGGGCUGUGUUCAGUGGUUUGUGGGGCCAGGGAGGCUCUGUCCACGCCACAGCGUACACAAGCAGAACUGACUGGAUUUCACCUUUCAGCCAAACUAAGAAGCCAAAAGAU